GCCUAUAGUUAUCUAAAGAUAGUGGGUCAUUUUUUUUAUGUAGAAGGGAAAUAACUCCUAUUUUUUGUAAAUUAGUUAACUCCCCUUUUUCAUAUGAAAAAUUGAAUGUAUUAACAGCAAAUUCUUUCAGAUCUUCCCAAAAUAUCUUGUAAAACUCUACACUUAAACCAUCAAUGCCUGGGGCUUUAUUGAGUUUCAUUUUAAAUAGAGAUUCUGUGCAUUCCUGGAUACUUAAUAGACCUUCCAUACUUUCACUUUCUUUAUUGGUUAAUUUAUGAUCAAUUUCUGUAUUCAUAAUGUAAUCUUUAAUAUAAGUUAUGUUAGGGUUUGAACUUUUGUAUAUAUCUUGAUAAAAUUCUCUUUCAAGUUGCAAUAUUUUUGUAGGAUCUCUGUGUAUCUCCCCAUCUUUAUCUUU
rnacentral:lncRNA from 1 species